rnacentral:rRNA from 1 species
AUUGAACGCUGGCGGCAUGCCUUACACAUGCAAGUCGAACGGUAACAGGUUAAGCUGACGAGUGGCGAACGGGUGAGUAAUAUAUCGGAACGUGCCCAGUAGUGGGGGAUAGCCCGGCGAAAGCCGGAUUAAUACCGCAUACGACCUAAGGGUGAAAGGGGGGGAUCGCAAGACCUCUCGCUAUUGGAGCGGCCGAUAUCAGAUUAGGUAGUUGGUGGGGUAAAGGCCCACCAAGCCUGCGAUCUGUAGUUGGUCUGAGAGGACGACCAGCCACACUGGGACUGAGACACGGCCCAGACUCCAACGGGAGGCAGCAGUGGGGAAUUUUGGACAAUGGGCGCAAGCCUGAUCCAGCAAUGUCGCGUGCAGGAAGAAGGCCUUCGGGUUGUAAACUGCUUUUGUCAGGGAAGAAAUCCUGUGGGUUAAUACCUCGUGGGGAUGACGGUACCUGAAGAAUAAGCACCGGCUAACUACGUGCCAGCCGCCGCAGUAA